rnacentral:rRNA from 1 species
GAUGAACGCUAGCGGCAGGCUUAAUACAUGCGAGUCGAGGGGCAGCAGGACUGUAGCAAUACAGUUGCUGGCGACCGGCAAACGGGUGCGGAACACGUACGCAAUCUACCCGAAACUGGGGCAUAGCCCGGGGAAACCCGGAUUAAUACCCCGUAACACUUUGAAGUGGCAUCACUUUAUAGUUAUAGCUCCGGCGGUUUUGGAUGAGCGUGCGGCUGAUUAGGUAGUUGGCGGGGUAACGGCCCACCAAGCCUACGAUCAGUAACUGGUGUGAGAGCACGACCAGUCACACGGGCACUGAGACACGGGCCCGACUCCUACGGGAGGCAGCAGUAAGGAAUAUUGGUCAAUGGACGCAAGUCUGAACCAGCCAUGCCGCGUGGAGGAUGAAGGCCCUCUGGGUUGUAAACUUCUUUUAUAGGGGACGAAACCUCUUUUUCUUGAGAGACUGACGGUACCCUAGGAAUAAGCACCGGCUAACUCCGUGCCAGCCGCCGCCGUAA